rnacentral:rRNA from 1 species
AAUAUUGGACAAUGGGCGUGAGCCUGAUCCAGCCAUGCCGCGUGCAGGAAGACUGCCCUAUGGGUUGUAAACUGCUUUUAUACAGGAAGAAACCUUUUCACGUGUGAAAAGCUGACGGUACUGUAAGAAUAAGGAUCGGCUAACUCCGUGCCAGCAGCCGCGGUAAUACGGAGGAUCCAAGCGUUAUCCGGAAUCAUUGGGUUUAAAGGGUCCGUAGGUGGAUAAUUAAGUCAGGGGUGAAAGUUUGCAGCUUAACUGUAAAAUUGCCUUUGAUACUGGUUGUCUUGAAUUAUUGUGAAGUGGUUAGAAUAUGUAGUGUAGCGGUGAAAUGCAUAGAUAUUACAUAGAAUACCAAUUGCGAAGGCAGAUCACUAACAAUAUAUUGACACUGAUGGACGAAAGCGUGGGGAGCGAACAGGAUUAGAUACCCUGGUAGUCCACGCCGUA